UACGUAGGGGGGCUAGCGUUGUCCGGAAUCAUUGGGCGUAAAGAGCGUGUAGGCGGUCCGGUAAGUCCGCUGUGAAAGUCGGGGGCUCAACCCUCGAAUGCCGGUGGAUACUGUCGGGCUAGAGUACGGAAGAGGCGAGUGGAAUUCCUGGUGGUAGCGGUGAAAUGCGCAGAUAUCAGGAGGAACACCUAUUGCGAAGGCAGCUCGCUGGGACGUAACUGACGCUGAGGAACGAAAGCGUGGGUAGCAAACAGG
rnacentral:rRNA from 1 species